UAAUGUUGGGUUUAGGGAAAAUUAAAUAAAGGAUAUAAGAAAAGGGAAAGGCAAUAAUGAAAUGUGUUGGUUGUUGUCCGUGUUUACAUGGAAGUAUUAGGAAACCCGCAAAGCUUUUCCCUUUUCAUAUUUUCAUUUUUUAAUCGUCUCUUAGAAGGAUGUUCUGUGCAUAAAUUUAGCCUUUCUAUUGACCUCUAGAAGGGUGAAAGAGGCCAUUUCAGAUAUAUGUCAUUUUGUCAAAGAUCUGUUAUCUUUCUCUUGAAGUGUUUACAAGAAAUUCUAGAUCAAUGUCCUCAAUAUCCAUACUUUUGGUUGUUGUUUGUGUUUACAUGGAAGUAUUAGGAAGCUCGUGAAGCUUUUCCCUUUUAUUAUAUCCUUUAUUUAAUUUUCCCUUUGGGGCAGACUGAAAAGAGAAAGAAUAGAAGUGGUGAUGGAGGUGUAGAAUUGGCAAGUUAACUGGUAUUAAGUUAACUGAUAUUUGCAAGUAUAUGAGGGUUCUAAUGGGUGAACUCUAAGCAUGACACGAUUAAUUCUACCCUGUACUUUGCUUCUUUUUCUUUUGUUCUCUAUUUCUUCUGACCAUUUGUGCUCGUGUUGCAGGUGUCAAGACCGUAUAAACAAGCUGGAUUUGAUAUCAUUUUUGGUGAGGGUGUGAGUAAGUUGUUGUUUGCCUUCUGGAUGGAUAGUGUUGCUGUUUUCUGCAGUUUUUACUCUGUUAUCCGAGAAGAUAUUUCUGGACAGGAAUAAAUUUCUGACUACAUGUUGACUAGAGGGGUUUAAUAUGAAUGCAAGGGAAAUGGAGUACCUUUUGAGUUUGUCCAACACUUGUGUUCUGUUGACUUGAAAUGCAGUAGGAGCUUUAUUGAUCUACCAAUCAGCAGAUCCUUAUCCUAGGUAAUUUUGUUUGUUCUCCGUGAAAUUUGAUUGUAUGCAUCUAAAGUGAAAAAUUAGUUUAUUGGUCAUUAUUAAUCAUCAAAAUCCAUCAUGUACGUCCAUGUUUUACUCUAGCUGGUUAUAUUUAUAAUGGUCUUUGUUCCUAGUGAACGAAUGUGGGGUUAAAUGAUGUCUUUUUCGACAUAAUGAAUAUAACGUCUGGUUGAUACAUAUCUUCUAAUUUUUACUCAUGUAUGAACUACGAAGAUGUUAUUAAUGUAAUGCUCGGUAUCUCUCUCUAUUCCCUGUUUUCACUCUGGCUUGUGGAUCAAUGCAUGUGUUUGAUAUAAACUACGGUGUAUCGGAUAAUGAUAACAUAGGCACACUUUGUAAGAAAGUUGGGUUGUGUCGACUUGUAAAUAGUUUAGUUUGUUAUCUCUUAUACAUUGUGUAUGUAUUUAGUUUUCACCAGGUAUGUAAACUGCAGAUUUGUUCACCUAUUCCAUGGUCGUUUUAGCCAUGAAUCUGUAUGUCAAGAUGUUCCAAUUUCAAGUUUGUUGUCUUUCCAAUCAUGUUCUUUUGUCGCUUCAGCAUCCAGUGGCUGCUGGCAUAAUGAAAAAUGGUUGAACACCUAUUUAGAUUCAUUAGUUGAGAGUUGGGAGCGAAAAUAACCAUUAUAGUCAAAAUAUGUCAUAUAACGAAUA